rnacentral:lncRNA from 1 species
GAACUGCCAUUUACAUUAUGGUGUUUCACACAAACAUAGACUCAUUCUCUCUGUUGAACUACAAUCAGAUUUCAGCAUUCAAUAUUUUUUCUUCUCAAAUAAUACCAAUCACAUUUCUAUUCCAUAAUUUACUUCACAAUAUUCAAAAAUUCUCAAUCCUCUUAUUCAAAGAAAAUAACAAACAAAAGAAAAGAGGUAGUACCAAGCUUACCCCGGCUCACAACUAUCACAGUGAUGGCACCUUAAUUAACUUCUACAACUCUUAUAUACUUUCUCCUGAUUCUCUAGAUUUUAACCAUAAUUCUGUAAUUAACUACUUUUAAUAACUAAAUCACUCAUCCGUCCUCUUGAAUUUCCUAUUAUAUGGACUAUUAAUAUAUUUUAUCAAUAUCUU